AUAAAAAGAAGACGAAGAAACGUUGAGAAGCAUACCUUUCUCGGCCUUUUGGCUAAGAUCAAGUGUAGUAUCUGUUCUUAUCAGUUUAAUAUCUGAUACGUGGGACAUCGUCCCACAUGAUAUUAAAUUUAUUUUUUUAGGGGGAGGUCUCACCACAAUAGCUUGCUAUUGGAGUCCUCGCGCGUCGCCCUGGCGUUGCACUAUUGCCUGGGCCUGGCGCACCCCUCAAAUUCCAGUUCUAAUUUAUUUCGCGAAAGGUUGUUGCAAGUGAAUGGUGCCCAAAAUUCAAUUUAGGGUAGAGUUCUCAUAAAUUAAUUGUAGUUGUAUGUUGAUUUCUGUCUAUUCAUUGAGUUAUUUCUGGAUUAUAUUGAAUUGAGUUCAUAGCUAGUGCAGCAAAAGAGGUCUGUCCUGGUAUUCGUAAUUUUUGUCGAGUGCGGCGUUGAUGGUGGUGAUAUAUGCUUUGGGUAUUAAUAUUAUUGAAUUAAUUUUUACCAGUUUUUAUGAAGUUGUUGGAAAUGGCAAAGCGCAUUCUGAUGGUUCUAUGGAUUUGUGUAAACUUGUCUGGGUUGUGAGGGAAAGUUUUGUAGGUUUGGGGGCAGAGGAAUGUAGAUUGAAUGGUGAUCAAGGCAUGAGUAAGAUUGAGAUGCUUAGGAGUGUUUGGCACAGUGGGGAAUGGGGAAGGGGAAGAGUCCUUUUUCCCCUUUUGUUGAUCUACAUGUGUGUGUUCAUCCUCGUGGGCUUUGAUAUUGUAUCUCAUUACCGUUAUUUCUCACUUCUAAAUUCGCAUCAUCUUUUUAGUACAAAUCUUAACUUAAAACUAAAUAAAUAAGAAAAAUUGAAAUCUCAACUUUUUUCUUUUGAACAUUUUCCCUCAAUUUUACAACAAAAUCUCUGCAUUUUUUUUCUAUUUUUUUAAACAAAAUAUCACAUCUGUGUGGACCAUAUUAGAUGCUUUUAGUUGUGAAUUCACUCCUGACUCAGUGCUAUAAAGAUCAAGUGUCCAUUCUGGGACCUGCUACAAUCUUGAAUUGAGCUCUUAAUUUUCCCUUUUUGGAUAAGGCAUUGAGAAGUAGUCCUUCCAAGACAAUGGUGAAGUCCUUGAGCUAUUAUUUCUACUCAAUUCCUAAUCAGCUGCAGAAGUUACAAGAGCUGAGUGACUCCAAAUAACAUUAGCAGUGAUAAGAUCUGGUGAACUUGUUUUAAGUGCUUUUUCCUUGAUUUCUUCUGUAUCAUAAACCAUCAGAACUUUCAAAUGGUGAGGCUGCUGUGAUUAUGUGUGAUCUCCCUGCUUAUGAACAAAGCAGAAAGGUUUAGAGGUUUAUGGAGAAGCUUCUGGAUGUGGAGCCCCUGAGAAUACCUUAUCAAGGAGCUGUUUCCCAGGCAGCCAAGAAAUUUGGGGAAGGGGCCCAUCACAAUAGCUUGCCAUUGGGGUACUUGUGCGUCGCCCUUGUGUUGCACUACUGCUUGGGCCUGGCGCACCCCUCCAAUUAAAGUCUAUAAAUGCCUUCACAGUUUCCUUGGCUAAUUUGAUGGAGUGUAGAACAGAAAUAGUCAACUUUUGGCACUAAAAACCCAUAACUCUCAUGGCAAUGGAACCACACUCGACACUGUCACAAUGCAGCCAACCCAUUGUGUGACUGCAGGAAGCUUGCUCAACUAGGUGUCUCUUGGAUAGUCAAAAGAUUAGGAAGAAGAAUGUGAAUAGAAAAUGUGCUAGCUUUCAAGACACAUUAUGCUUGAGUUGCUUAGAGGAAUAAGGAAGAUGGAGGAAGAACAGAUGAGCCUCCAAGCAACAAUGAAGAAGUUAUGGAUGCAUUUGAUUUUGUAUUAUUGGUAUAGAAAGUCUCAAAUGUUUCCCAAUGUAGAGGCCCUAAUGCACUUGCUUCAUAGUAGGUUAAAGUUGAAACAGCUUGCUUCAAUUCUAAAACAAUAGAUCUUUCUCUUCAAA